UAUACACCUGAUAUUAAAAAGGUAUAUUUAUAGAACAUUGGUGUGGUUUUCCUGGAAAAAAAAAAAAAAAAUAAUAAUAAUCACACGAUUCCCGUAACUGAAUGCUUUAGUAAAGCUGCUGUAAAGAGAAAAAAAUAUAUUUAUUUAAAUUUUUUUUUUUUCUUCUUUUUUUUUUUUUGGACUGUUGGCAGUGGUUCAGUCCUAGGCUUGAAGCAUUAAACAUAGACAGUAAAAGAAAUGGACACAGCGACCCCAUUGGAACUCAAUUGAGACAAGUGAAGCCCAUUUUUAGCGUUUUUUAGCACUUCCGUUUCUGACGCGCAGACUCAAACGAAGCUUGAGGACGUCAGCAACCUGUCUGACAGAUGUUAAUCUUCUAGUAGCUUUGCGUGCAAACUGCCAUCGUUAAUCUUGCAGAGACGGCGAGCUUGAGCGGGGAGUUCUUUAUCGUGAGUGAGCAGGAAGUAUUUGGACUGCAGAGACGAGCUGAAAUCCCAGAUCUGGAUGCGCUCCAUCAGGCUUUGAGGAGUGAACGCAUCACUUCCUGCACCAGACUUUUAUUAGGCUGCACUCAAGGUUACCAAGUCUCACCAUGAGCUUCAUCCGUGUCCAUGUUCAGCAGACACGGUGGCUCCUGUCGGCCUCCGACGUCACCAACUUGCCUAGCCUGCCAGAUAAUAACCGCACGGUUUGCGCAGAUCAGAUGUGAUGAAGUCACCCUCCUCAUCCUCGUCCAUUAGCAUCAAAACCUCUCAUCAUCACUGAACCUGACGGAUGGAAACCACAUGUUUGGAGCUUACACACUUCAGGAACGAUUUCCUGUAGGAGAAUAAGAGCGUGAGCAAUUUGUAAUCAUUUUAAAUGUUUUUAUGCAUUAGCUAAUGGCUGUGUGUUGAUAAGAUUGGAACAAAAUAUUUAAUGAAGCAAUGCAAAUUCAAUAUUCAUUUGUGCUUUUUUAAAUCAAUUUAUAUAUUCAUUUAUUAAUAUAUUCACACACACACACACACACACACACACACACACACACACACACACAUAUAUACACCAUAUACACACAUACACACACACACACACACACACACACACACACACACACACACACACACACAUACAUACACACACACACACACACACACACACAUAUAUAUAUAUGUAUAAAAUUCACUAAAUAAAAAUAUCUCUAUCUACUAAUUAUUUAAUUAAUAUUUUAUUACUUGUAAAAAAAAUUAUAUAUAUAAAAUAAAUAUAAAAUAUAUUGAUAAUAUAUUUAAUGUUUUUACAAUAAUAAUAAAACUAUUAAAACAUGAAAAUAUACAAAUACAACAUUAUAAAAACAAUAAUAUGGGUGUGUAUAUAUAAUAAAAUUGGAUUAAAUCGA
rnacentral:lncRNA from 1 species